AUUUUUUAUUUAAAAAGUUAAAAUAUAUUAAAAAGACGAGAAGACCCUAUAGAGUUUUAUAGUUAAAUUUAUUAAAAUUAUUUAUAAAAUUAAAAUUAAAAUUAAUUUAAUUAUUAUAUUGGGGUGAUAGAAAAAUAUGAAAAACUUUUUUUAUAUUUAUAUAUAUAUAUAUAUAUAUAUAUAUAUAUAU
rnacentral:rRNA from 1 species